GGGUCAGUAGGUUGGUCGUGCCACCGGUACGUACUGGUCUCACUGAUUCCUCCUUCCUGAAGAACCGUGAUGCCAUUAAUUUGGUGUUGCGGGGAAACAGGACUGUUACUUUGAAAAAAUUAGAGUGUUUAAAGCGAGCUAACGCUUGAAUACAUUAGCAUGGAAUAAUGGAAUAGGACGAUCGAUCCUAUUUUGUUGGUUUCUAGGAUUGACGUA
rnacentral:rRNA from 1 species